rnacentral:piRNA from 1 species
UGGUUGGAAUCCAGUGGGAACGACAUCAUGC